CCUUAGAGUUUGAUCCUGGCUCAGGAUGAACGCUAGCUACAGGCUUAACACAUGCAAGUCGAGGGGCAGCAUGAACUUAGCUUGCUAAGUUUGAUGGCGACCGGCGCACGGGUGAGUAACACGUAUCCAACCUUCCGUUUACUCAGGGAUAGCCUUUCGAAAGAAAGAUUAAUACCUGAUAGUAUGGUGAGAUUGCAUGAUAACACCAUUAAAGAUUUAUUGGUAAACGAUGGGGAUGCGUUCCAUUAGGUAGUAGGCGGGGUAACGGCCCACCUAGCCUGCGAUGGAUAGGGGUUCUGAGAGGAAGGUCCCCCACAUUGGAACUGAGACACGGUCCAAACUCCUACGGGAGGCAGCAGUGAGGAAUAUUGGUCAAUGGGCGAGAGCCUGAACCAGCCAAGUAGCGUGAAGGAUGAAGGUCCUACGGAUUGUAAACUUCUUUUAUACGGGAAUAAAGUUUCCUACGUGUAGGAUUUUGUAUGUACCGUAUGAAUAAGCAUCGGCUAACUCCGUGCCAGCAGCCGCGGUAAUACGGAGGAUGCGAGCGUUAUCCGGAUUUAUUGGGUUUAAAGGGAGCGCAGACGGGAGAUUAAGUCAGUUGUGAAAGUUUGCGGCUCAACCGUAAAAUUGCAGUUGAUACUGGUUUCCUUGAGUGCAGUUGAGGCAGGCGGAAUUCGUGGUGUAGCGGUGAAAUGCUUAGAUAUCACGAAGAACCCCGAUUGCGAAGGCAGCUUGCUAAACUGUAACUGACGUUCAUGCUCGAAAGUGUGGGUAUCAAACAGGAUUAGAUACCCUGGUAGUCCACACGGUAAACGAUGGAUACUCGCUGUUGGCGAUAUACUGUCAGCGGCCAAGCGAAAGCAUUAAGUAUCCCACCUGGGGAGUACGCCGGCAACGGUGAAAC
rnacentral:rRNA from 1 species